rnacentral:rRNA from 1 species
UACGUAGGGUGCGAGCGUUGUCCGGAAUUAUUGGGCGUAAAGGGCUCGUAGGCGGUUUGUCGCGUCGGGAGUGAAAUCCACUGGCUUAACUGGUGGCUUGCUUCCGAUACGGGCAGACUAGAGGUAGGCAGGGGAGAGCGGAACUCCUGGUGUAGCGGUGGAAUGCGCAGAUAUCAGGAAGAACACCGGUGGCGAAGGCGGCUCUCUGGGCCUUACCUGACGCUGAGGAGCGAAAGCGCGGGUAGCGAACAGG